rnacentral:misc_RNA from 1 species
GUAAAGUAAUACACAAUUUCUUAAAAAAUGUUGAAGAUUAUGACAAAAAGAAAAGUACUUGUCGGUCGUCAUCGUUAUCCGAUCGUGAUAGUGUUGCAGGCAGAUCGCCUUACCUGCCCUACGGAAAACAUACAAUGUAUCGACGAGCGCAUAGUUGUCACGAGUUCGAGAAACGUCGAUUUCGGACCGUUAUUUCAUCCACACAAAGAAGGUGGCAUACGUGAUCACAGGCGCGAAAGGUGGUGUGGCCCGAGCGUAGUGGGGGUCGUCUCCUCGAGAAAACAAAGAAAUGAUCGAAGGACAAUCAGUCUCUUUUGAAGAUUCGAACAGUAUACGCCGUGAGGUAAAAUGAAUAAAGUCGCUAUGUCUAACGAACAUAUCGAGAGACAUCACAAAGUCGAAUCAACUUCUGUAACGCAUUAACAUUAUUUAUCACCAAAUAAUUUGUGACACUUCAUUGUUAUUAAAUUCUUACUAAAUAUACAAGUUAUAUCAACCUGUUAAUACAGUGUUAAAUUCAUUAAACUACCUCUGUUAUCUUAACCGAAACGGCGGAACGACGAAUUCGCGGCGUCGAUUAUACGAAUCGUAGCGAGAAUUUACGCCUCUCGCUGACGCAUUUUCCUCGUGACCGCGUCUGUCCGCGAACAGUCGUGACAACAUGCAAGGUGUGACAAGUACUCUUGCUCUAAGGCACAAUAUGAAAUCAGCAACAUUCAGUUUAACAAAUUAUACCUUUUAUUCGUUUUCCAUCAUGGAAUAACGUGAUGAUAUCUUCCAUAUUGCACUAGACGUGCGUUGUAAUCUACUCCUAUCUAUAUUUUGAAACAUAGUGUUAAAUCUGAUGUGCACUUUCUGUUAUCAAAGAAUUUAUAGACUGCUUUCUCCGGAAUGUAUCGUUGCAUUGCAAGUUGAUUUUCACGUAUGUGCGCUAAAAUUGAUAAAAAUUCGAGUAUUCUAUGCAUUCUAAUGUUUAUUAACCCAUUAAGUAAAACAAUACUUACAUUGUGCCCAAUGUGGAAUUGUAUGCUUUGGUCUGGAUUUAUCACCUGAUUCAUCGCCGUCAGGUACACUAUCCAAAACGUAAGUGG